GGACACCCAGAGAUAUCCUUUGGCCACCCUCAUUCUUCUUCGUUCCAUCCUCCGCCAGCAAGGCUCUUCCGCUAGCAAUGCCCAGCGGUCAUCUCCCGCUACUGCAAUCUGCUAGACUGUACACAUCAGCGGAGCUCGUCUCUUUGCCGCCCAGCUGCCAUAACACUUCCUCCGCUCCACCAAACCGCAACUGCAUCUCCGCUCCGCUGCACUGCUCACAGCAUGGCUCGCUGGCAGCCUCCGCCGAACUCUUCCGGCACGACUCCUCUAGCUCACUGUUGCGCUCUCCACCCACUGCAGGUUCCGCCACACUGUGCACCGCUAGCAGACACUAGCGGCAAAACCUCCGCUAGGCAUCUCCAGCGAGCCUCUCCGCCGG
rnacentral:lncRNA from 1 species